rnacentral:rRNA from 1 species
CGUGUAGGCGGUUCUUUAAGUUUGCUGUGAAAUCUCCCGGCUUAACCGGGAGGGUGCGGUGAAUACUGAGGGACUAGAGUACGGGAGAGGAAAGUGGAAUUCCUGGUGUAGCGGUGAAAUGCGUAGAUAUCAGGAGGAACACCGGUGGUGUAGACGGCUUUCUGGACCGUAACUGACGCUGAGACACGAAAGCGUGGGUAGCAAACA